rnacentral:lncRNA from 1 species
CCAAUUGAUAAUUUUCCUCAACUCAAAACUUUUUAUAUGUGUUAUCAACAUCAUCAAUUUUAUCACAUCUUUCACCUAUUUCUAAAAAAUCGUACAUAUAUACGUAUACAUACAUUCAUCCAAAUAAAGGAAUUUAAUUAAAAAAAAUCACAAUAUUAUUCAAUGAUGAAGGAUUUCCGCAUCAACCUUCAAGCUCCAUAAUUUCAACAACUCCAGAAAAAUGGUAACUCUUUCCUCCAAACACACAGAUAUGACUUCUAUAGUACGUACUUGCUGAAAAUUUUAGAUACAAAGAUGAUGCGAGAAGGUAUGACACAUAGACGUAGGUUACAAAAAAGUUGAAUGUUGAAACUUGAAACUAGCUUGCGGAUGAUUUUGCACAUCCGCUGGACUCAAAUUGUGUUGUGAAGAUCAUGGGCAGAUUUUGAAGANNNNNNNNNNNNNNNNNNNNNNNNNNNNNNNNNNNNNNNNNNNNNNNNNNNNNNNNNNNNNNNNNNNNNNNNNNNNNNNNNNNNNNNNNNNNNNNNNNNNNNNNNNNNNNNNNNNNNNNNNNNNNNNNNNNNNNNNNNNNNNNNNNNNNNNNNNNNNNNNNNNNNNNNNNNNNNNNNNNNNNNNNNNNNNNNNNNNNNNNNNNNNNNNNNNNNNNNNNNNNNNNNNNNNNNNNNNNNNNNNNNNNNNNNNNNNNNNNNNNNNNNNNNNNNNNNNNNNNNNNNNNNNNNNNNNNNNNNNNNNNNNNNNNNNNNNNNNNNNNNNNNNNNNNNNNNNNNNNNNNNNNNNNNNNNNNNNNNNNNNNNNNNNNNNNNNNNNNNNNNNNNNNNNNNNNNNNNNNNNNNNNNNNNNNNNNNNNNNNNNNNNNNNNNNNNNNNNNNNNNNNNNNNNNNNNNNNNNNNNNNNNNNNNNNNNNNNNNNNNNNNNNNNNNNNNNNNNNNNNNNNNNNNNNNNNNNNNNNNNNNNNNNNNNNNNNNNNNNNNNNNNNNNNNNNNNNNNNNNNNNNNNNNNNNNNNNNNNNNNNNNNNNNNNNNNNNNNNNNNNNNNNNNNNNNNNNNNNNNNNNNNNNNNNNNNNNNNNNNNNNNNNNNNNNNNNNNNNNNNNNNNNNNNNNNNNNNNNNNNNNNNNNNNNNNNNNNNNNNNNNNNNNNNNNNNNNNNNNNNNNNNNNNNNNNNNNNNNNNNNNNNNNNNNNNNNNNNNNNNNNNNNNNNNNNNNNNNNNNNNNNNNNNNNNNNNNNNNNNNNNNNNNNNNNNNNNNNNNNNNNNNNNNNNNNNNNNNNNNNNNNNNNNNNNNNNNNNNNNNNNNNNNNNNNNNNNNNNNNNNNNNNNNNNNNNNNNNNNNNNNNNNNNNNNNNNNNNNNNNNNNNNNNNNNNNGGCGGAUGUACGGUACAGCAGGGGUUGGGUCGCGUAUAGUAUUUGCGCAUUAGUUUAUAAACUAUUCAUUAUCAGCAUCGCUAUUACCAAUUGAUAAUUUUCCUCAACUCAAAACUUUUUAUAUGUGUUAUCAACAUCAUCAAUUUUAUCACAUCUUUCACCUAUUUCUAAAAAAUCGUACAUAUAUACGUAUACAUACAUUCAUCCAAAUAAAGGAAUUUAAUUAAAAAAAAUCACAAUAUUAUUCAAUGAUGAAGGAUUUCCGCAUCAACCUUCAAGCUCCAUAAUUUCAACAACUCCAGAAAAAUGGUAACUCUUUCCUCCAAACACACAGAUAUGACUUCUAUAGUACGUACUUGCUGAAAAUUUUAGAUACAAAGAUGAUGCGAGAAGGUAUGACACAUAGACGUAGGUUACAAAAAAGUUGAAUGUUGAAACUUGAAACUAGCUUGCGGAUGAUUUUGCACAUCCGCUGGACUCAAAUUGUGUUGUGAAGAUCAUGGGCAGAUUUUGAAGAACCAGUCCAUGAGGGGACUGGUGUUGAUAAUUGGGCAACCGAUCUUUGUCUUUCCAUAUGAAUAUGACUGUCUCUCAUGGCCUUAAACUUCAAAUAUGCCUCUGCAUUAAUUUCACGGACAUCAUCGGUAGAGGAAGAACCAGGCAAGAAGCUGGCUGACGAUGAAUAAUGAGACAGACUUCCUUCCAAACCCGAACUAUUCAUUUCUCUUGGAUGGUCUCUUAGAGUUUUAAACCUCAAGUCUUCACUCAAACCACCGGCUUCAGGGAUUACAUCCGGAAUGUUAGAAGAUCCUUCCAGCAUGCUUACCACUUCAGACAUGGUUGGCCUUAGUGAAGGUGACGCAUUGGUGCAUAAGAGUGCUAUUUUAAUCAUUCUCUCUGCUUCAACCUUGUUGAAUUCUGAUCCGAGCCUUGGAUCCACUAACUCCAUUAACGUACCACUUCGGUGUAAAUGGAAGGCCUGGGAAAUACAUAACCGAGACAAUUAUGUUAAAAAUUCUACAUUUAUUGGAUUUAAACUCAUGCCAUAACUGUUGUCCCAAAUAAAUAAAUAACAAACAAACAAACAUGUCCCCACUAAAAUGGAGUUAAAUGUACUACUAAAGAAUUAAAAAUUUAGUUAAUCUUGUACCCAGUCAAGAGGACAGAUGCAAUUACUGUCUGGCACAUAACUCAUAUUAUACUUCCCACUGACAAUUUCCAAAGCCCUGCUGUACCGUACAUCCGCCUUGGCCGUACAGCAGAUGUUAAUAUAAUUCAUUAAUUAGUAAAAUAUUCACUUUUCUUUUUCGAUGUAUUAAAUUAUUUGGUAUCUAAAAAUUACAUUGGGCUCCGACUAAUUCAGAUUUGAGUUGGGUGAAACUACUAGGACGGCAAAUCUCUCCCAACAAAUAUUUAACGUAGCUGUAUUUCCAAGUCUCGAACCAAAAACUUUGGUUAAGUUAGAAUAGCCUCGUACUAGCUGAUCUACGUGCUAUUCACUUUAGUAUUGAUCUCAUAUUCUUGAGGCACGUUAAAAUUAUAGCAAUCUUAAACCGCCAGUUCAAUUUCAGUUGACUGUUUUCGCCACCUUAACAUGACCAUUCCAAGAAAUAUUACUAGGGAGAAUAAUAGAUUGUUAUAUAACUUGUAUAGUGUUUCUAAGUUACUAUUUUAUUUUCCUCUCAUUUAAUCAAUCAAGCAAUCAUCAAUAUAUUACACUUACCGAAUAAAGCAUGGGCAAGGCUGUUGUUUUCCAUGUAUUCAUAUACUAGCAAGAGUUGAUCCCCUUCAACACAACAGCCAUGAAUUUUAACAAGAUUUGGGUGUUGCAAACACGAAAUCAUGGCUAUCUCAUUUAAGAAUUCACGAUUCCCCUGCCUUGAUUUUGAAGAGAGCUGCUUCACAGCAAUUAUAGUACCAUUGGUUAACUGACCCUGCAUGUAUGUAUGUAACAAGAAGAACCGUUAAAGGAAGUUCUGUAUACAAAAGAAUAAUCACGAUGACCAAAGGUUUGAGUGUAUACCUUGUAAACAGGUCCAAAUCCACCUUCGCCAAUCUUGUUCAUGGGAUCAAAAUUGCUAGUGGCAGCUCUUAUUUGCUUUAAGGUAAAAGAACUGGCUUGGAAUUCUAGUCCUUCAAGAUCUGUUCAAAUGAAAGAGAAGUACAGUUUUAAAAAGUUGCCUGAUUUUUAGUGUUUACGCUUUGUAAAAGAACCAUAGACCAGCUAAAAAAACAUUUUCAAUCGAUAAAUUUCCUCCAGCCACAAGGUUUUGUUAUGAUUGUUUUAGUUUCAGUUCUCUCUUCCUGAAGCAGUUACUCAUCUAUUUGAAAGAUUCCAAACCUUCUUGUCUUCCGCUCUUGGUUCUAAAAUAGUGUCUCCAACAGAAGAUACCCAACACCAAGAUAAUGAGACAUGAUCCUAUAAUAACGCCAGCAACAAUUGGUGCAAUCGUCUUUUUUCCUGCCCCAUAGAGGGGUUUGAAGUCUGCCAGAAAGCAUAAGCCAAGAAAUUAUGAUAAUCAGAAACAACAAACAUAGGAAGAAAGAAUGACUGUGAGUAUUCAAGACUAUAUCGAUUAGUUGGAUGUUUGCUUUAAAUUUUCAAAUGGUUUUCUACCAUAGGUGCUGUGGCUUACAGUUCUUAGAUUUCACACUAUUGGAGCACUUGAACUUUUAUUCUCAAAAUGAUUGUACAACAUGUCACAUUGUUAGCCCGACAUGGGACAUGGAAGAAGUGGAAAAGAAAAUCACUCACUGGGAUCCACAGAAAUAGCUGAUAUAAGAGGCCCAUAAACUCCACCAAUAGGAAUUGCAGUAGUGCCUUUGCCAGCCCAUUGGAAGCGAAUCUCUAAAAUGUGAUUGGAAACAUUGGCAGUGAAUGGUCUCGUGAUUGGUUUAAGAACUCCAUGAGCUUCAGCUUCAAUGUUAAAAUCCUUCUCAACUAAUUUGUCCUGCAACAUAGCAAACCAACAAAAUUUGUAUUUGUUAUCCUGAAAGAAACAAACUCCAUAUGACCAAGUGACUAAGAAAAUGGGCUCUCAAGAAUAGCUUUAAACAUAUCACACAACUGGAGACAUCUCACAAGAUGGAACAUUUUGAAUGGAACACAUCAGGCACAAAAUUAUAAUAUGCAAGCCCACAACCCAUCAUCUGAUUCUCAGGCAUCACAGCCUGAGUUGACUCUGAUGAAAAUAUAUUUCUUGAUUGUCAUAAAGUACCUGGAUAUAAAUAUCAAAUAUGCGCCUGCCAAGGGUUUUAUAUGUUUUGUCAUUUGUGAAUUGGAUCUCCGCAAAGUGUAGAGCCACUGAAUAAUUCCCAUUUUCUAAACAAUAUCCAAUAUAAGUAAGCGAAAGAGGAGAAAUACGUGCAUCAUUGUACAAUUCAGAAAUCCCUGAUGACUGUGAAUUUGCAAUAUAAUUAGUAUUUUGCUCAUCAUCAUCAUCUGUGAAAUCUCCUGUGCUACUGAUUCCCCAGUUAGUACCAUCCAGUAAAUGGUAUGUUGCAGCACCACCACCAACUCCUGCAUCUCCUUCGAAUGUGCUGUCAUUUACUUUUACAUUACCUCCACCACAAUUAAUGUGCAAAGAGUGCCAAUCUGUGAAGAGAAAACAAUGUGAAAUACUAAAGCAGCAAAGACCUUUUCACAUACUGUUAAUCCAUUUGAAAACAUUAAAAGGAAAGCAAGCUCAUAUGGUCAGUUUUUUUAUUUAUUAUUUAUUUUGUUGGGGGUUGGGGAACUUGUGAGUGAUCAGCAAACGUAAUUGUAUUAUCAUCAAUUCUAGGGAUCAACUAGAUUACUUCACCUUGCCUUUAAGUACUUCAGAUAAAGCACUUACGUACAUGAUAACAAGACUUGUGAUUGAAUUCGUAAAGAACAUGACAAAGAAUUGUGAUUCCAGGAGUCAAUAAAUGUGAAGAGAAUAUAGAAGAGAUUCUAAUACGAAGAGAAUUCUAACAACAUCAAAUCUGAAAUGAUACUUACAUCGAUGACAUGUGAAAUUGUUUGUACAUGGAAAAACUCCACGUCUGGUUUUAGUCAAGAAAAAAUGUAAACAAAACAGAUUAGCUCCAUAUCGUUGCCAAGUGAGGUCAACAACAGUAGAGUAACAAAUGGCUGUCGUGAGAAGAUUUCUUGCUUUCAUUGAAAAGCAAAUGGCACCAUCAAAACAGAAAUGAAGAUUUAAUGAUAGAAUGACCAGCUAUAUGCGCAAAAUACUUCAUGUAGAGGUAAUUACCUUCGUAACUUUUUUUGUUUUUAAAGGAAUUACCACUGUAACUUAAGCUGGUAUAAUAGGAAAGAAAAAGGGAACUUACAAGUUAUUUUCCACUGAAGAACUCCGGAACAAAUUCAGAUUUAGAUUCCUAGUUAAAAAAUGAUACAUCUAUCAGGACUUAGAUCCAUCACAGGAUAUACAUGGAGGUAAACAGAAUCAGAUAAUUAUUCACUUAAGAGAAAUAUACUGACGGUUUCUCACGGCAAGCAGGCUGCUCAGGACUCUGCCAAGUGAAAUUAUUGUAAGAAAGGUCCCUGCAUGCAAGAAAGAAACAACGAUCUUUUCAUUGUAGAUGGAAAUUUAAUUUAAAAUGAUGAAGCAAUUGAAAGAUACAAGAGAAUGUCUUUGUGUUUGACACAACCCCCUCACUGCUAUCCUCAUCAAAUGAAAAAGCUAAACCUCAAAAUUGUUUUGUUUCUAAUAUGUGCUAGUUGUGAUAUGUGAUGUGCUCCACAAAGCCUAACAUAAUGGCUUGUUCAUAUGCCUCCAGCAAACUCAUUUUCAACAAUAGUAAAUUAACAGAUUAACAAAUUUAUAGAGCUUAACGAUGGAUAACAAAUGCACGUUACAAGGAUUGAUGCUCAUAAACUCCUCUGAUAAACAUAAGAAUCUAAAAUCCAAGAGAUAAGGUACACACACAUUAGUUCCUUUCUUCAGGAUUGACUCCGGUACAUUCCCUUGGAUAGAAUUGCCGGUAAGAAAGCUGAUAAAGGCCAGAUCAAGCAGUUAGUAUCUGGACAUUUGAAAAUUAGAAUAGUAAAAUUAAAACUUUUGUUUCAGUAACUUGCGUGAAUUUCAAAUCGGCUGGGAGUGCAACAUCGGGAAGUUCCCCAGUUAGAUGAUUAAAGCUGAGAUCCCUAUAAAAGCCAAAAAAAAAAAAAAAAGAGCGAGAAUAAAAAUUUAUACGUGUGCUAAUUAGAGACCCUAACUACAUAUGAUGAUCUGCACAAUAGAACAUAGGUAAUCGAAAAGUAAGUAAGUAACAUACUUACAGAAACCGAAGAUUUUUUAUUCCCCAUAUAUAUUCAGGUAUCUCUCCAGCUAUAUUACAGUUCCUCAAAAUUCUGGAAAUCCAUCAACAAUCAAAUCAGAUGAAGCAAUUUUGAGGUGAAUAAACUCCAUUAAUGUGAUAAAAAUGAAGAGUCAUACAUCCGUGUAAGGCCUGUCAUGUUUCUAAGCAUCGGAAAAGUCUGAUUCAUUCCUUGCAAGUCACUAAUCCUCCUGUUCAUAUAAGUAUCGUCAUUAACAGAUCUUUUCAGCAAUAUUCAAUAUGCUAAACUAUUAUGACAAUGAAAGUAUUAAAUCAUUUGAAUUAUUGUAAAAGAAUACUUAUUAAAUUUUCACUGACAAUUGAUUUAGCUUAUCCAAAGCAGAGAUUGAUGGCGGAAUGGGUCCUUCAAGUCCACUACCUUGAAUUUCUCUGCAUUAAGUUAAGUAAAGCAAUCAAUAAUAUUUCAAGGGCCUGACAGUAACUUGAACAAUUUUGGCAUGUCGAAGAGCCUACAGUCUGUUAAGUUGUGUCCAGCUUUGUAUAAAAUCUGGCACACUCCCAUUGAAGUUGUUGUCAUUAAUCCUACUGCAUUGUCCAACAAGAACAAGAAUGAAUUAUGGCUUACACUUUCUGCCAAAUUUCAGAAUAUCCUCAGAAUAAACUUUUGAAAAGCUUACAAGUCUGUUAAAUUUUUCAGCUUCACAAGUUCCAUUGGUAAAUUUCCAAUCAAUCUAUUGGAUGAUAGUCUCCUGCAAUAAAAUGUAGAUUAUCCUCCGAUGAAUAUGCUGAUAACGGACAAAAACUGAACGUAAAGAAACCCCAUAAAUGCCUUACAAGGUUUCCAAGUUAACGAAAUUCCCAAGCUCUUGAGGUAUUGUUCCUGAAAAUUGGUUUUCUUCAAGGUCCCUGGUAAACAGAUCCAUUGAGAUUUCUAAUAAUCGCAGAACAUAUUGGUAUAAAAACUUAAAGGACUCUUACCUGCAAAUUUGCACAUACACAUGAACAAAGAAAAUAUUCUGAGGAAUAAUUAAGCAUAAGACUUCUAGUUUAUCUCCUUGAAGAAACAAGAAUUUUGUUCUCUCAGUCAAAGAAAUAAAAAAUAAUUGGAAAAUUCAUGAAAUUUAAAAUAAUGAAAAACUAUAAUCAGUUCAUUUCUGCAAGUCCAUCAACUGGAUAUUGUAGUCAUGAUGAGUUUUCGAAGCUUACAAGUAUGUGAGACUAGUAAUGUUCCCCAAAUGGCUUGGAAUAUUGCCUGACAAUCGGUUUGCAAAAACAGAUCUGCAUGGACAAUUCCAAUAUGGUUAAUUCAGUGAGACAAACAAAAUUUUAUUUGCUCGACUGAUAGAAAGAUGCAGAUAUAGCUUACAUAUACUUCAGUUGCAUCGAGGCCCAUUCACGUGGUAUCGAACCAUGCAGAUAGUUGUAAGCAAAAUCACUGCAUUCCACAACAAUAUCAAUCAAAUUUACAAAUUGGUCUGUAAAAGAAAGAAGGAAACGAAGAUAUUCAUAAUGCAGUAGACUAAUAGGGGUGCAUUUAGUUACAUUUUUGGCAUGGGUCUAUUUUUUGGUUCUGUUCAAAUGAAAGAGAAGUACAGUUUUAAAAAGUUGCCUGAUUUUUAGUGUUUACGCUUUGUAAAAGAACCAUAGACCAGCUAAAAAAACAUUUUCAAUCGAUAAAUUUCCUCCAGCCACAAGGUUUUGUUAUGAUUGUUUUAGUUUCAGUUCUCUCUUCCUGAAGCAGUUACUCAUCUAUUUGAAAGAUUCCAAACCUUCUUGUCUUCCGCUCUUGGUUCUAAAAUAGUGUCUCCAACAGAAGAUACCCAACACCAAGAUAAUGAGACAUGAUCCUAUAAUAACGCCAGCAACAAUUGGUGCAAUCGUCUUUUUUCCUGCCCCAUAGAGGGGUUUGAAGUCUGCCAGAAAGCAUAAGCCAAGAAAUUAUGAUAAUCAGAAACAACAAACAUAGGAAGAAAGAAUGACUGUGAGUAUUCAAGACUAUAUCGAUUAGUUGGAUGUUUGCUUUAAAUUUUCAAAUGGUUUUCUACCAUAGGUGCUGUGGCUUACAGUUCUUAGAUUUCACACUACUGGAGCACUUGAACUUUUAUUCUCAAAAUGAUUGUACAACAUGUCACAUUGUUAGCCCGACAUGGGACAUGGAAGAAGUGGAAAAGAAAAUCACUCACUGGGAUCCACAGAAAUAGCUGAUAUAAGAGGCCCAUAAACUCCACCACUAGGAAUUGCAGUAGUGCCUUUGCCAGCCCAUUGGAAGCGAAUCUCUAAAAUGUGAUUGGAAACAUUGGCAGUGAAUGGUCUCGUGACUGGCUUAAGAACUCCAUGAGCUUCAGCUUCAAUGUUAAAAUCCUUCUCAACUAAUUUGUCCUGCAACAUAGCAAACCAACAAAAUUUGUAUUUGUUAUCCUGAAAGAAACAAACUCCAUAUGACCAAGUGACCAAGAAAAUGGGCUCUCAAGAAUAGCUUUAAACAUAUCACACAACUAGAGACAUCUCACAAGAUGGUACAUUUUGAAUGGAACACAUCUGGCACAAAAUUAUAAUAUACAAGCCCACAACCCAUCAUCUGAUUCUCAGGCAUCACAGCCUGAGUUGACUCUGAUGAAAAUAUAUUUCUUGAUUGUCAUAAAGUACCUGGAUAUAAAUAUCAAAUAUGCGCCUGCCAAGGGUUUUAUAUGUUUUGUCAUUUGUGAAUUGGAUCUCCGCAAAGUGUAGAGCCACUGAAUAAUUCCCAUUUUCUAAACAAUAUCCAAUAUAAGUAAGCGAAAGAGGAGAAAUACGUGCAUCAAUGUACAAUUCAGAAAUCCCUGAUGACUGUGAAUUUGCAAUAUAAUUAGUAUUUUGCUCAUCAUCAUCAUCUGUGAAAUCUCCUGUGCUACUGAUUCCCCAGUUAGUACCAUCCAGUAAAUGGUAUGUUGCAGCACCACCACCAACUCCUGCAUCUCCUUCGAAUGUGCUGUCAUUUACUUUUACAUUACCUCCACCACAAUUAAUGUGCAAAGAGUGCCAAUCUGUGAAGAGAAAACAAUGUGAAAUACUAAAGCAGCAAAGACCUUUUCACAUACUGUUAAUCCAUUUGAAAACAUUAAAAGGAAAGCAAGCUCAUAUGGUCAGUUUUUUUAUUUAUUAUUUAUUUUGUUGGGGGUUGGGGAACUUGUGAGUGAUCAGCAAACGUAAUUGUAUUAUCAUCAAUUCUAGGGAUCAACUAGAUUACUUCACCUUGCCUUUAAGUACUUCAGAUAAAGCACUUACGUACAUGAUAACAAGACUUGUGAUUGAAUUCGUAAAGAACAUGACAAAGAAUUGUGAUUCCAGGAGUCAAUAAAUGUGAAGAGAAUAUAGAAGAGAUUCUAAUACGAAGAGAAUUCUAACAACAUCAAAUCUGAAAUGAUACUUACAUCGAUGACAUGUGAAAUUGUUUGUACAUGGAAAAACUCCACGUCUGGUUUUAGUCAAGAAAAAAUGUAAACAAAACAGAUUAGCUCCAUAUCGUUGCCAAGUGAGGUCAACAACAGUAGAGUAACAAAUGGCUGUCGUGAGAAGAUUUCUUGCUUUCAUUGAAAAGCAAAUGGCACCAUCAAAACAGAAAUGAAGAUUUAAUGAUAGAAUGACCAGCUAUAUGCGCAAAAUACUUCAUGUAGAGGUAAUUACCUUCGUAACUUUUUUUGUUUUUAAAGGAAUUACCACUGUAACUUAAGCUGGUAUAAUAGGAAAGAAAAAGGGAACUUACAAGUUAUUUUCCACUGAAGAACUCCGGAACAAGUUCAGAUUUAGAUUCCUAGUGAAAAAUGAUACAUCUAUCAGGACUUAGAUCCAUCACAGGAUAUACAUAGAAGUAAACAGAAUCAGAUAAUUAUUCACUUAAGAGAAAUAUACUGACGGUUUCUCACGGCAAGCAGGCUGCUCAGGACUCUGCCAAGUGAAAUUAUUGUAAGAAAGGUCCCUGCAUGCAAGAAAGAAACAACGAUCUUUUCAUUGUAGAUGGAAAUUUAAUUUAAAAUGAUGAAGCAAUUGAAAGAUACAAGAGAAUGUCUUUGUGUUUGACACAACCCCCUCACUGCUAUCCUCAUCAAAUGAAAAAGCUAAACCUCAAAAUUGUUUUGUUUCUAAUAUGUGCUAGUUGUGAUAUGUGAUGUGCUCCACAAAGCCUAACAUAAUGGCUUGUUCAUAUGCCUCCAGCAAACUCAUUUUCAACAAUAGUAAAUUAACAGAUUAACAAAUUUAUAGAGCUUAACGAUGGAUAACAAAUGCACGUUACAAGGAUUGAUGCUCAUAAACUCCUCUGAUAAACAUAAGAAUCUAAAAUCCAAGAGAUAAGGUACACACACAUUAGUUCCUUUCUUCAGGAUUGACUCCGGUACAUUCCCUUGGAUAGAAUUGCCGGUAAGAAAGCUGAUAAAGGCCAGAUCAAGCAGUUAGUAUCUGGACAUUUGAAAAUUAGAAUAGUAAAAUUAAAACUUUUGUUUCAGUAACUUGCGUGAAUUUCAAAUCGGCUGGGAGUGCAACAUCGGGAAGUUCCCCAGUUAGAUGAUUAAAGCUGAGAUCCCUAUAAAAGCCAAAAAAAGAAAAAAAAGAAAGAAAGAGAGAGAACAAAAAUUUAUACGUGUGCUAAUUAGAGACCCUAACUACAUAUGAUGAUCUGCACAAUAGAACAUAGGUAAUCGAUAAGUAAGUAAGUAACAUACUUACAGAAACCGAAGAUUUUUUAUUCCCCAUAUAUAUUCAGGUAUCUCUCCAGAUAUAUUACAGUUCCUCAAAAUUCUGGAAAUCCAUCAACAAUCAAAUCAGAUGAAGCAAUUUUGAGGUGAAUAAACUCCAUUAAUGUGAUAAAAAUGAAGAGUCAUACAUCCGUGUAAGGCCUGUCAUGUUUCUAAGCAUCGGAAAAGUCUGAUUCGGUCCUUGCAAGUCACUAAUCCUCCUGUUCAUAUAAGUAUCGUCAUUAACAGAUCUUUUCAGCAAUAUUCAAUAUGCUAAACUAUUAUGACAAUGAAAGUAUUAAAUCAUUUGAAUUAUUGUAAAAGAAUACUUAUUAAAUUUUCACUGACAAUUGAUUUAGCUUAUCCAAAGCAGAGAUUGAUGGCGGAAUGGGUCCUUCAAGUCCACUACCUUGAAUUUCUCUGCAUUAAGUUAAGUAAAGCAAUCAAUAAUAUUUCAAGGGCCUGACAGUAACUUGAACAAUUUUGGCAUGUCGAAGAGCCUACAGUCUGUUAAGUUGUGUCCAGCUUUGUAUAAAAUCUGGCACACUCCCAUUGAAGUUGUUGUCAUUAAUCCUACUGCAUUGUCCAACAAGAACAAGAAUGAAUUAUGGCUUACACUUUCUGCCAAAUUUCAGAAUAUCCUCAGAAUAAACUUUUGAAAAGCUUACAAGUCUGUUAAAUUUUUCAGCUUCACAAGUUCCAUUGGUAAAUUUCCAAUCAAUCUAUUGGAUGAUAGUCUCCUGCAAUAAAAUGUAGAUUAUCCUCCGAUGAAUAUGCUGAUAACGGACAAAAACUGAACGUAAAGAAACCCCAUAAAUGCCUUACAAGGUUUCCAAGUUAACUAAAUUCCCAAGCUCUUGAGGUAUUGUUCCUGAAAAUUGGUUUUCUUCAAGGUCCCUGGUAAACAGAUCCAUUGAGAUUUCUAAUAAUCGUAGAACAUAUUGGUAUAAAAACUUAAAGGACUCUUACCUGCAAAUUUGUACAUACACAUGCACAAAGAAAAUAUUCUGAGGAAUAAUUAAGCAUAAGACUUCUAGUUUAUCUCCUUGAAGAAACAAGAAUUUUGUUCUCUCAGUCAAAGAAAUAAAAAAUAAUUGGAAAAUUCAUGAAAUUUAAAAUAAUGAAAAACUAUAAUCAGUUCAUUUCUGCAAGUCCAUCAACUGGAUAUUGUAGUCAUGAUGAGUUUUCGAAGCUUACAAGUAUGUGAGACUAGUAAUGUUCCCCAAAUGGCUUGGAAUAUUGCCUGACAAUCGGUUUGCAAAAACAGAUCUGCAUGGACAAUUCCAAUAUGGUUAAUUCAGUGAGACAAACAAAAUUUUAUUUGCUCGACUGAUAGAAAGAUGCAGAUAUAGCUUACAUAUACUUCAGUUGCAUCGAGGCCCAUUCACGUGGUAUCGAACCAUGCAGAUAGUUGUAAGCAAAAUCACUGCAUUCCACAACAAUAUCAAUCAAAUUUACAAAUUGGUCUGUAAAAGAAAGAAGGAAACAAAGAUAUUCAUAAUGUAGUAGACUACUAGGGGUGCAUUUAGUUACAUUUUUGGCAUGGGUCUAUUUUUUGGUAGCAUUAGACUAAAAAUAAACAAAAUUGCAAAAUUCCUUCUGAGGAAGCACUUGUAGAUGAUUUCUAGAAAAUGCUUUGAGGGUCAAAAAUGUACCGGAAAUGCUUUAUGGAGGAGCAUCAGCAAGUGCUUUUAAAGUUCUUUCACAAGCAUUCACAGAAACCCUCUCAACAAAAUCGGGUAUCAAUCCCAAAUGCAUAAAAAAUUAGCGAACAAUAAAAUUACAAUAUAUAUGCAUUGAUGAAAGUUGUGUACAAUCUUACACAUUUUCGAGGUAAGGAAGAUUGACAAUUUGAGGUGGGAGAGUUCCUGGAAGGCUGAAACGCAUGAAUUCCCUGAAAAAGUAAAGCAAACCCAGAUUAUUUUAUGGGAAAAGAAAUUUCCUUUUCGUAAAAACAGCACUUUUCACACUCCAUUAAUGGGCAAUAGCAAUUUUCAGACUUUUUAAUUACUACAUUAAAAAUUGACACUGUGUGACCAAGAUUCCUCUUUGAAAGAAUGCUACAAAUACUUGUGAUUUGCAGAAGAUAUCUUUAGAAUAAAUUCUGGAAUUAACUUUCAAAGAAACAUGUUCGUGAGAGAAUCAAGGCAACUAAUUCGUGAGAGAAUCAAGGCAACUAACUUACAUGGCAAUAAUGUGGCAGGUUUCAUUCUGAAAUUGGCAGUUGCAGGUGAUGUUUCUCAAAGGAUCUGUUAAUACAAUCUGUUUUAUAGUGACGUGAUCUUCACAAGCAUCAGAACCGAAAGUCCAGUUAGUGGCUCCCAUUGUUUGAGCUAUCUGAUUGAGAACAUCAACUGCAUUUUCAUCAUCAUCAUCAGAAAAUUUAAAAGUUAAAAAAAAAACUGCUAAUAAUGCUUUUAAAAGAAUACUUGAGAUUCUGGGUUUUUACUAUCUUGAUAAAGUAAUUAUUCAGAGAUAGGAUCAAACCAACUGCCAACACAAUCAAAACCUACUAAUCGAAGUAGAUCCUACUUGGCAAAAAUGAAAAUGUGUACUAAAAUUGCAAAAAAUUGAACUUACCUUCAUCUCGAGGCAGUUUAGCAGCAGCAAAAAUUUGAGCCCAAAAGCAACUCAUAACCAGCACAAGAAGUAGAAAACGUUUGAAGAAGAGGAGCAUUUUCGAAAAACCCAAAAUAGGAAUCUGUAUUCAAGUUUGUACACAAAAUAUGCCUUGAGCAGAGCAGCUCUCUUUUUGCCUCUAGCAGCCAACGUCAUCCAAUCGUUCUCUUCUCCUUUAUCCUUACUUUUUGAUUUACACAGUGGGAAAGGUUAGAAUAUUAUGCAGCUCCAUAAAUAAAAUAUGCUGUAUGCACGCACAUCCAAUAUUUCUUUAGUCAAAAUGUUGAAAAGUGAAGAUUAAACAGCCAUCUUAAUUACUUUCAAUUCACCUUUCCGUGCAUGCAUGAGCAUGCAAUACGAAUACCUUUACUUUUUUUCUUUUUUUUUUUAGUAGGAAUCAACGUUUAACAUUUCGUAUGACUAAUGAUAGUAACUCUAACAGAAAGGGCCGGUUAUUGCUUUUGUCAAAUCAAUGAUAAGGUUUCAGAUUCCUUCGCUGCUGUAGCUUUGCCACGCCUGCAAACUCGCAAAACUUCUUGAGCUUGGAGCGAAGUGAAUCAUUUGGACACGCAUUGAUCAUUGAUAGCUCAAAUAUAUGAAUAGUUAGUGUCAAACUGUCAAUUUGAUAUGGAUGAGUCAUAGAUCUUAUGUAGAAAAUGAGCACAAAUAGCAUGGGAGACUCCAAAAAAUAUCUUGUAACAUAACUUUUUUUUUAAUUUUGUAGUGAAUUUCUUUUAUCUUUUAAUAGUGAGGUGCUAUUUUUUUAACUAAUUUUGAUACAUUCAUCGCUGCUGUUUUUCCAAAGCAGGACGGAUGUGAGCCGCUACACAUGGCAGCCAGCUAGGGCCAAUCAGAUUGGAAAUGGUUGCGUGCGCCUCUAAAAUUAUUGAGGAAGCCAGCAAUCAUCAAAGUUGUUCUUUUCACAUUUGUUUUGUGGACUCCAAAUGUAUAGUUAGUUUGUAAUCUUACAGUCACCAAUGUAACAAAAUGCACAAUAACAUAGAUGUGUAUAUACACACAUAUUUUCAAAAAAUGAAAAAGGAACUGCGGAAUUGACAACACCAAAAAUGAUGUAUGUUUCUAGGAACUCGAUGAAUUAUGGUUGUAAAGAUCAUACGCGGUUCAUGAGGGCAUAGUCGUCGAAAGCUGUACCUCUGAAUUCAUGCCUUGGAUCAGCCUAUAACCGUCUCUAAUGACUUUAUACUUCUUAUAUGACUCCUCAUUAAUUUCAUAGAGAUCUUGGGCAGCAGAAGUAGAGGAAGAGGCCUGAUUGAACUCAGCUGAUAUUGAAUGCUGGGACUGAGUUGCUGUCGAAUUCUGACUACGCCUCAGCCCCUUUUGGUCUCUCAAGGCUUUGAACCUCAAAUCUUGACUAUAACUUCCAGCUUCUGGUAUCAUAUCUGGUAUGGCAGUUUUUCCUUCCAGCAUGUUUACCACUUCCGACAUUGUUGGCCUUAGUGAUGGCGAAGCAUUUGUGCACAAAAGAGAUACUUUGAUCAUCCUUUCUACUUCUUCCUUGUUGUAUUUUGAUCCUAGCCUUUCAUCCACUAGCUCCACUAACUUUCCAUCUAGCUGAAGAUGACAGGCCUACCCAAACCAAAACAUAGCAUUAGAGAAGACACAACAACCACAGAAAUGAAAAUGCAGAAGGUGAAUUAUAUGAGUUAGUUGCUGACCCAAUCGAGAAGACAAGUGCAGUCGAACUCCAGAGCUGAAGCAUAACUCAUAUUAUUUUUCCCACUAACAAUUUCCAAGGCCACGAUCCCAAAACUGUAAACAUCUGCUUUGUAGGUCAAAUAGCCCCAGAGUGCAUAUUCUGGUGCCAUGUAUCCUCUGAAGUCAAAAUUAUCAAUUUUGUAUUACACUGAAACAAUAACAAAAUUAUCAGUUUUAAAUGAGAGACAUGAAAUGAGGCUUACAUGGUUCCAGCAAUGCGAGUGCUGAUGUGGGUUUUAUCCUCCUCAUCAAGCUUAGCUAGUCCAAAAUCUGAUAUUUUGGGGUUUAAAUCCCUAUCUAGCAGAACAUUUGUAGCUUUGAUGUCUCUGUGAACAAUUUUGAAUCUUGAUUCUUCAUGAAGAAAAGCUAACCCCCUGGCUAUGCCAAGACAGAUCUUCUGCCUGGUCGGCCAGUCCAAUUCCAGUUCACAGUUUUCACGACCUUAAAAAUACAAUAACCAUUCCGAAUCCAAUCAGAAACAUCCCUACAGAAAAUGAAACAUAGUAUACCUGUAUGUAACAUUUGCUUCUUGUUUUACUAGACUAAACUUACCAAACAAAGCACGGGCAAGGCUGUUGUUUUCCAUGUAUUCGUAUACUAGCAAGAGUUGAUCCCCUUCAACACAACAGCCAUGAAUUUUAACAAGAUUUGGGUGUUGCAAGCACGAAAUCAUGGCUAUCUCAUUUAAGAAUUCACGAUUCCCCUGCCUUGAUUUUGAAGAGAGCUGCUUCACAGCAAUUAUAGUACCAUCUGCUAGUUGACCCUGCAUCCCAGUUAUGAAAAAAGAAAUGUACAAAUUUUAAGUAACCAUUGAAGGAAAUUUUGUGUUAAGAGGAUGAUUAGGGGCAAAAGGUUGGCCAAUAUACCUUGUACACAGGUCCAAAUCCACCUUCUCCAAUCUUCUUUGCAGAAUCAAAAUUGUUAGUUGCAGCUUUAAUUUGCUUUAAGGUAAAAGAAAUUGUUUGGAGAUCCGACUCUUUCAUAAAACCUGUCCAAAUAAAGAGAGACAAGUGUGCUUUAGCCUUUAGAUGAGACAAGUAGCUUUAGCCUUUAGAUGAGUUUCCGGGUUCAUUAAACAAAAUUAGCAUCAGCAUGUAGUUUGAACCCAAAUGUCUUCAAAUGCUUACAUAAAUGCUGUCAAGAACUAAAAUUAAUGCUGUUAUAAAACUACUAUUUUGAUUAUUCUAAUGAAAAAGAAAAUGAAUAUUGAUAGGCUUAAUAACUUAUGGAGAUUUUCUUUUUCCUUUCACAUAAAAUGGAUAUGUAAGAAAAUGGCUGCAAACAAACUAAAUAUCUGAAUUUUGGUUGUUUUCUAAUGUACAAUCGUAGAGAGUUAAACUUCAAAAAAGAACAUUUGAAAUUGUGUUACUAAAAAUCCGGACUUCGCAACGUAUUAUAAUGUUAGUCGAUUUUGAAAACAGAAUAAGGGAUGAAAAGGACUCACUGGGGUCAUUCAAUGAAAUAGCUGAUACUAGGGGGCCGUAGAUUCCCCUCUUAGGAAGUGCGGUAGUCCCUUUGCCAGCCCAAUGGAAAUGGAUCUCUAUAAUGUGAUUUGUAACAGUGACAUUAUAGGAUCUUGCAACUGGCUUAAGAACCCCAGAAGCUUCAGCUUUUAUAUCGAAAUUCCUCUCAACUAGUUUGUCCUGAAACAAGACAAUCCAGAGAAACAUAUUGAGAAUCAUCCAUCAUAUUACUCAAUAGCACAACUGUCUCCCAAGAACUCACAGAGAGAAAUGUGUCCGAUGAAAAUCUAUUUGCUGAUUCUGAUUAAUUACCUGAAUAUAAAUAUCAAACAGACGCCUUCCCAGGCUGAAAAAUGUAAUUCCAUUACUGAACUGGACCUCCGCAAAGUGUAGACUCAAAGUAUAAUUUCCGUUGUCUAAACAAUAUCCAAAAUACGUAAGUGAAAGAGGAGCAAUGCGUGCAUUAAUGUAUAGUUCAGAAAGGUUUGAUGAGUCAGGAGUUGCAAUGUAACGUCUGUUUUGUUCAUCAUCAUCAUCAGUGAAGUCUCCACUGCUACUAAAACCCCAGUUAGUAUCAUCUUGUGAAUGGUAUGUUGCAGCACCACCACCAAUUUGUCCAUCUCCUUCAAAUGUGCUGCCAUUUACUUUUACUUCAUUUCCACCACAAUUAAUGUGCAGUGAGUGCCAAUCUGCCGAGAAAAAAGAAUGUUAAAGACUAUCUGAGCAAUGAGUUUUCAAGAAACCAGAAAUGAACUGACAAUUAAAAAAUAAACAGAAGAAUUGAAGUUGAUUUGAAUAUGAUAUUAUUAAUAGCUAGGCUACCAAAUAUUUGUGAUUCUAAAAGUCAACAUAUUCGAGAUAUAGAUUUUAUGGUGACUUACUGAUAGUAGAGUAUACUUACAUCGAUCGCAUUUGAAAUUAUUCCUACAUGGAAGAACUCCACUUCUGGUUUUAGUCAAGGAAAAAAAGAAUAUUAGUAGACAUUACAUUGUCUAAUCUAAAAAUAUACGUUGCUUCUUAUUUAUUGGAUGAUAAAAUUACUGUAUAUUUGCAAACUUCUUUAUACAUUGGUUGUUAAAUCUGUCACAUAAGCUACAAUAAUAAGAAAGCAUGAAAAGCAACAUACAAAUUGCUGUCCCCAGAAGAACUUCGGAACAGGUUCAGAUUUAGAUUCCUAACGAAAUAACGGGAGACAAAGCAAAUAUCAGCACUCAGAUAUACCAAGUGAUAUUAUAAGCGGAGAAGAUUAUUUAUUUAACAUAGAGAGGGAAAUAUACUGACUGUAUCUCCCGACAAGCAGGCUGCUCAGGGUUUUGAUGAGUGAAAUUAUUAUAUGACAGAUCCCUGCAUGCAAGAAAGAAGCAAUGAAGGAAAUUUCAUGCAUAAGAUUAUUUAUUUAACAAAAUUGAUGUUUAAUAUGGUCUCUUUAGAAACAGGAUUACAAAGUUACAUAUGGUUACUAUAUAGUAAAUCAACAGAUUGCAAAUAUAUAUGAACAUAAAUCACCAAAAUAAGUAAAACUCAAGGCAUCCAGGUGAUAAGAUACACACACAUUAGUUCCUUUCCUCAAGAUCGACGCUGGUAUGUUCCCGCUGAGAAAGUUGCCAGUUAGAAAGCUGACCAAGGCCAUAUCAAGUGGUUAAUGAGUUGGACAUCACAUAAUUAACAUUGUAAAUCCAGACAGUUGAUUUCAUUAACUUACAUGAAUUUCAAACUCGGUGGAGUUGCAACAUUGGGAAUUUUCCCGGUUAGCCUAUUAAAACUGAGAUCCCUGUCCAAACCAAAUUCAAAAGAGAAUGAUUAUCCAUGUAAAUACAUUAACUGGCCUGUAAGUGCUGAUGCUUCAACUCUAUUGCUGCUAUGGCAGCUGCAAGGUAUAGAAGAAUACUACAUUACUAGUUGGUGUUACAUUUCAUGAAUGCUAACCGUGAAUUUUGCUUUCAUUUUCAAGUAUUUAAUUUCUGCAUUAGAAAACAAAGAAUGUAGCAUACUUACAAAAUUCGCAGAUUAUUCAUUCGCCAGAUAUAUUCAGGAAACUCCCCAGAAAUACCACAGUUUCUCAAAAUUCUGAAAAUCCAACAUUAAUCCUGUAAGAUAAUUAUAAGGCGAAUAAUCAUACUCCAUCAAAAUGAUAGAAAAUAGCCAAUGAGCAUACAUCCUUUUAAUGCCUGCCAUCUUUCUAAGAUCCGGAAAAGGAUGAUUUCUUCCAGCUAUGUCACUAAUCCUCCUGUUAGAGUGCCAUAAUUAACAGAUCCUUUUAGUAUCGUUAAAUAUAAUAAAUUAAUCAUAUAAAUUGAUGUAUUAAAUCAUUCUGAUUAUUGUAAUUGAAAAGUAGAGAAAUAUUUACUCACAAUUGUGUCAGCUUUUCCAAGACAGAGAUGGAUGAUGGAAUGGGUCCAUGAAAUUCACUACCUUGCAUUUCUCUGCAUCAACUCAAAUUAACCAAUCAAGAACAAUCAAGAACCAGAAUGUAUGCUGAGAAAUCUUUGUAAUGUAGAUGAUCGUACAGUCUGUCAAGUUGCUUCCAGUUUUGUAUAAAUUCUGGUAUACUCCCAUUGAAGUUGUUGUCACUGAUCCUACUGCAAUGUGCAAUAAGAAUGAGUACAGCUUAUACCUCUGAUGAAUUUUGAGCAUGAUCUGACACUAAUCAAGAAAGCUUACAAGUCCGUUAAAUUUUUUAGCUCAGCUAGUCCCGUGGGCAAACUUCCACUCAACUGAUUGGACGAUAGUCUCCUGUAACCCAUGACAAUUUAUCGUCCAAAUGAUUACAUUGAUCAUGAACAAAUAUCAGCCACAAAAAAGCUUGACAAUGCCUUACAGAGUUCCCAAGUUCACUAAUUUCCUGAACUCCUCAGGUACGGUUCCUGAGAAUUGGUUUGCUUCAAUGUCCCUGGUAAAAUAGACCCAUUCAGAUUACAAAUGGAAUAAAUUUGUUAUCAUUUACAUCAGUGGCCUAAAUAUGUUUGCAUAAACCAAGAAUUGAGAGCUUACAAGUACGUGAGACUGGUAAUGUUCGUCAAAUGGCUUGGAAUAUUGCCUGAUAACCGGUUUCCAAAAACAGAGCUGCAUUAAGAUUAUUGACGAUCAAUUAACUGUACGAAACUAGUAGAAUGCUAAAUGCUUAACCUGAUUAGAGAGAAUUAGAUAUAGCUUACAUGAACUUCAACUGCAACAAAGCCCAUUCGACUGGUAUGGAACCAUUUAGAUAGUUGUAGGCAAAAUCACUGCAAAUUAACAAAAACGAUUAAUUUAUUUAUAAGUUUAAUCUCCCAAUGCAUUAAAUUGGAGACUGUUCAACUCACACUUUCUGGAUGGAAGGAAGCUGAACCAAUUCCGGUGGAAGUGUUCCAGAAAGGUUGCAACGUUUGAAUUGUCUGAAAAUGGAAAACAAAAGAUACCCAAAAUUGGUCCUUCACAUCAACCUAAACACAAGACUGAAAAAUAAAAAUAUGCCGCUUCAAAUUUUAUAAAAUGACAGAAAAAGAUCCUACAUUUCAGUGAUGUGGCUUGUAUUAUCGAUUCCAAGGUUGCAAGUAAUGAUCCUGGUGGGACCUUCUUCCAGCACUAUCGGUGUCUCAUUCAGGUCACAAGCAUUAGCAUCAAACGUCCAGUCCCUAGCUCCCAUUGUUUUGGCAAUUCGAUUGAGCGCAUCAACUACAUACACAAAGAUGCAUCUCUCAAUUAAACAUCAGAACUUGGUGAAAAUAACAGUUUUGAGUUCGACCAGUCACCAAAUUUGAAGUUGUAUUUUGGGUUUUUUAUUUAAAUAUGCCCCCAUUUGUGCUUAAAUACUAAAUCUAUACCCCAUUACAAACAUAUACCUCGUGAAAGUGUAAAAAGUAAAAAAUAACCUAAAAAAACCAUCUAUUUACGUUUACUUUCUCUCUCAUGAUUUCUACAUAAUAACACAACCAAAGUCAAGUAUACUGGACUUGUUACCUGACUUAAUUAAAAAGAAAAUUUUUAUUUCAAUUUGAGUCGAGUAUUCUCAACUAAUUAUCGAACUUUAAUGAAAAAUCAAAAAUUUUUGCUGAAUGAAUAUUAGGUAAGGUUAAAUUAAAGUCGGAUAUUCUUGACUCUUUACUCGACUUACUUGAAAAAAUCAAAAAAAUUUCAAAUAAUUUUUUAUUUCAAUUGAAGUCGAGUAUUCUCGACUAUUUACCCGACUAACAUGAAAAAGUUGAGAAUUUAUGCUGAAUUACUAAUUGUGUAUGGUUUGGUUGAAGUCGAGUAUUCUCGAAUAUUUACCCGACUUCGAGGAGUUGGGUUUAGUUUUAUGAGGAUUUAGUUGUGGUUAUUUUUGUACUUUCUCUAGUUUUUUAGAGUAUAUAUGUGUAAAAUUUAAGAGUGUUAUAAUUUUAGGUAUAUAUUGGGUAUUUAGAAGGAAAUGGGGUAUAUCCCACGCAAUUCUCCCUUGUAUUUUUUUUAUUUUUUUAAUAAUAUUAUGAAUGCCACUAAUCUGACCAUUGUAAGAUCGCUGACCCUCAAUUCAAUUAUCAUCUUAGGCUCUUAACAAUGUUUUAUUCUUUAUUUCUGAGAAUAAUACACUACUAAUACCAAGAGAGAGAGAGAGAGAGAGAGAAAUGAAACAUAAGCUACAAUUGGUUACAAGAUAUCAUGAAGAAGGGGAUAUUGAAAAUAAAAAGAAAAUUUUAUCAGUCGAACCUUCAGCUCGAGGCAGAGUAGCAGAAACAAGUACUUGUGUCCAUAAGCAGCUUAAAGACAGAAUUGAGACAAGGAGCAGGUCAAGCUUCAAGAAGGACAUCUUUGAAGACCCAGAAAAGCUAGCCGUGAGGUAUGAGCUAUGAGCUAUCUUUCAAUUCUACCCAGUUUCCUUGUUGUACCGUACGGAUCUUCUGAUGAGCUGUUAUUAUGACGUUGUUUUAAUAAUCUUGCGCUUCUUUUAUAUUUGCUAAAUGCAGGGAUGAUGAAUCUUCCAAGCAAAUAGCUCGAUUAAGAAAAUUCCAACCACCCUUCUAAUGUGAUUUUGUCUUUCGUCCUGGUACGAUUUUAGAAUGCAGUACCAGUCAAACUAAAGUUAGAUUUGUUUUUGUCAUAUUCUGAAUUGUAUCCAAGUGCAUUGUUUUAAUAAAAAAUUGUCUCGGCACAAGGUUGACUUGCUGCCAAUGAUAAGAUUCUUAUUAAACCUCAUCCACAGCAUGUCUGAUUAAUUAAUCGCCGACAUGAAUUUUUCUACCUUACAGGUCAACGAAAGAUACAUCCCUCACAAAUUGAAUUGUUGGUCCCUAUCGAAUCUAUUGGUAUACGACCCCCCGAUAUUUGAAUUUUCAUUGGUUUUUUUGCAUGGUCAAACUGUAGGAUUCUGCUUUAAAUAUUUUGCUUUUGACCAUCGAAAUUGAGGCAGCAUGGCCACGGCUCUCUGAUUUUUUUUUUUACAUCAGUGACUAUUAUUUUAAUGCAAUAAUGCAUGUGUUAGGAAAUUAAUUAAAUUUCCUUAUACACACACAAAUAAAUAUUUAUUUAUUUAUAUAUAUGUCAUAGCAACAUUAGAAUGGAAUAUGGAUAGAAAAGAUUAUAGAGAUAUAGUUUAAUGAAUCAAUUAACCAAUUACUCACAGAUGUCCAUACACAAUCUGAACUUAAUUAGUGUGUUAAUUGGACCUUAAAAAGAGAGAGAGAGAGAGAGAGAGAGAGAGAGAAAUCCACUCUGGUUUGGUAAUUAAAAUAUGUUUUUUUUCUUCCAAUUGGAAAUGGAUGUCUCACUUUGAUAUUGAUGACUUGAAUAAAUCAAUAAAUUAUUUGACUACGUUACCUCCCAUUCCCAUUGGCUAUCUUUCACAAAAUACACGCAUUGACUAUUGGUUGUUUGAAAAAUUUUCUCUAGUUUGAAGAUAAAUUUUUGGUUUUACAUUUCUCAGUAGACUUUUAUUUUUGUAAGUACAUUUCUUAGUGGACUUGGAGAUUUUUGUGUUCAUGCAAAGAACUUUCUCUUCUUGCUUUUUCCCAUUAAAGAAAGAAAAUAAUUAUUUACUAUUUAAUUUCAAUGAUGAAAGAGACAUUUGCAAAACAGAUUUCAAGCUGUAAUAUGACGGGCGAUUGGCGAUUCCCGCCGGAUCCUAUAUCGUGCGUAGCCAGAAAAUAACAAUAAGAUGACUUCUUGUUUGCUAUUAUUGUUUCUCAAAUCUCAUGGAAAGGAUAUUGGUUCUCCGUUUGUAUUAAAAAAGUCCCAAACCAUUUUUCUUUUGAAUGAUUACGAUUUCGGAUAUAUUACAGCUUGAAAUCUACUAGGAUUUUAGAUUUUAGAUAUCUAUCUAUCUAUCUUAUUUAUUUAUUUAUUUAUUUAUAGUGCAACUAGAAGAAAAUAAAAAGAUAAAAACAAUAAUAGUUUGCCAUUAUAUUAUCACAAGUUAUAGAAACAUGUAAUAAUGCUAAUUAUUAAAAUUUAAUUUAGGUAAGGAUAAAAAUUAAUAAAUUAAAUAGAAAUAUUUUAGAGAAUAUAUUUUAAUGAUAAUAUCCAGACUUUUUAGUUUUUAGAUUAAGUAAAAAGUAAAAAAGAAUUGACUUAAUGACUAAAAAUUUUCAUUAAAUUAAAAAUAAAAAGACAGUGGCGUUUUUUUUUUGUCUGAAAUCUGCAUAGACCUGAAUUAGUCUGAAUUCUGAAUAGGUCUGAAUGUCUGAAUCUGAAUAAUAUGUUUAUUUUUUCGUCUGAAUCUCAAAAAAUAAGUAUUAAGUUGUUUGUUUUUUUCAACUUAAAAAGCUGAAAAUAUGUACUUUUACAUUUGUAUCUUUAUUAAAUUUGAAUGUCAAAUAAAUAAUAUUUUAUUAAAUUUUUAAUACAUAUGUACAUAAACAUUAAUUUUAAUACUGCUGUACGGCCAAGGCGGAUGUACGGUACAGCAGGUAAAACUAUAUUCAAGUGAAUACAUAAUGAUUUUGGAAUUUUAAUAUAUAAAAUACCAUAAAUUUCAAAUUUAUCAUAUAUAAUAUAAGAAAGAAAAAACAGGGAUAUUUUUAUAUGGGGUAAAUAUCUAUAGGUGAUUUUUGGGAUAGACAUGAAAAAUAAAUUAUAAAACAAGGAUAUUUUUGACAUUAGCAAGUAAUUAACUUAAUUUAAAUUUCUCCAUUAAGUAAAAAACUAAAAAAAAUUAACUUAUUUUAUUAAGUUAAAAUUAUCUAAAAAAUCUCAUUAAGUUAUAAAAACAAACACCUCUAAUUAACUUAAUUAAUUAAGUUAAGUCACUUUAAGCCAUUAAGUUAAAAAACAAACGCCACCUUAAUACCUUAAUUACUUAAAAUUAAAUUAAUUAAGUCAGUAAAUCAAAAGAAGCAGAAGGCCUCUAAGUCACAAACAAUUACUAAUGGUAAAGUUGAAUAUUGCAAAGGCUAUUUAAAAAAAAAAAAUUGAAAAGAAAAAAAGUUUAAUGUGUUAGAAAAAAUAUACGACAUUUUGAGCUAAAAAGAAAAAAAAAAUAUUCAUGAGAAAUGGUUACAAAUUAGGGAUGCAAAUGUUAUUAACCGAACCACAAAAAAAAAGGAUGACGCGAAGGCUGCAAACACGGUGAAUUGCAAGCAAAUUCGAUCCUGAUAAGCGAUAACCGGAAACUGAAACCCUAAUCUCUGGUUGCUGAAUGGACGAACGGAAUAAAACCAACGAUGAGGACGACGAAUUCUUUGAUACGCUCGACGAUUUUCCCUCUUACGACUGCAUUCCCGCCGACCAAUCAGAUCAAUCCACGUCAGAAUACAAAGAAACCACCUCCACUCUACGAUGCCGUUCUAUCCCCAACCGCCGAACUGAUAUUAAUAACUCCGGAGAGAAAAGGUACAAACUUUCUCGAAAUCAGAGAGAAAAAGAAACUAAUUUGAUAAAAUCUGAGCCCAUCAUCAAGGACCGAGUUGACUCAGUCCAUCUCGGAAGUGGUGUUAGCGAAGAGAAGGAGGAGGAGUCGACGGUGACUACUGAGAACGAAGAACGAGUUGUUGACUCGCUUGUUUCCGAGGUUGAGUCGCUGAAAAUUUUAGAUACAAAGAUGGUGCGAGAAGGUAUGACACAUAGACGUAGGUUACAAAAAAGUUGAAUGUUGAAACUUGAAACUAGCUUGCGGAUGAUUUUGCACAUCCGCUGGACUCAAAUUGUGUUGUGAAGAUCAUGGGCAGAUUUUGAAGAGCCAGUCCAUGAGGGGACUGGU